rnacentral:misc_RNA from 1 species
UACUUUCUUGUUUCCUUUAGGGUAAAGAGACAACCUCCAUUUGUAUCCACCAACUUCAAAAUCACUGGAUUCAUAGCUUUCUACCUUUGCAUUAGAAAGGUAAGAGAAGUUUUCAAUCUUGAAUAUGUAGUGAGCUGGUGGAAGAUCCCUUAGUUCCCUUAUUAUUUCUGUUUGUUCCUCUUUGAUAGCAAGUUCACCGAUCUCUUCUUCCACAACUGCUUUUACUUCUUCUUUGGCAGUAAGUUCA